rnacentral:rRNA from 1 species
UUGACGGGGCCCGCACAAGCGGUGGAGCAUGUGGUUUAAUUCGAUGCAACGCGAAAACCUUACCCACCUUUGACAUGUACGGAACCCUUUAGAGAUAGAGGGGUGCUCGAAAGAGAGCCGUAACACAGGUGCUGCAUGGCUGUCGUCAGCUCGUGUCGUGAGAUGUUGGGUUAAGUCCCGCAACGAGCGCAACCCUUGUCAUUAGUUGCUACAUUCAGUUGGGCACUCUAAUGAGACUGCCGGUGACAAGCCGGAGGAAGGUGGGGAUGACGUCAAGUCCUCAUGGCCCUUAUAGGUGGGGCUACACACGUCAUACAAUGGCUGGUACAAAGGGUUGCCAACCCGCGAGGGGGAGCCAAUCCCAUAAAGCCAGUCGUAGUCCGGAUCGUAGUCUGCAACUCGACUACGUGAAGUCGGAAUCGCUAGUAAUCGUGGAUCAGAAUGUCACGGUGAAUACGUUCCCGGGUCUU